UACGUAUGUCGCAAGCGUUAUCCGGAUUUAUUGGGCGUAAAGCGCGUCUAGGCGGCUUAGUAAGUCUGAUGUGAAAAUGCGGGGCUCAACCCCGUAUUGCGUUGGAAACUGCUGAACUAGAGUACUGGAGAGGUAGGCGGAACUACAAGUGUAGAGGUGAAAUUCGUAGAUAUUUGUAGGAAUGCCGAUGGGGAAGCCAGCCUACUGGACAGAUACUGACGCUAAAGCGCGAAAGCGUGGGUAGCAAACAGG
rnacentral:rRNA from 1 species